rnacentral:misc_RNA from 1 species
UACGAAGGGGGCUAGCGUUGCUCGGAAUUACUGGGCGUAAAGGGCGCGUAGGCGGCCUGGUGAGUGAGGCGUGAAAUUCCCGGGCUUAACCUGGGGACUGCGCUUCAUACUGCUGGGCUUGAGGAUGGAAGAGGGUCGUGGAAUUCCCAGUGUAGAGGUGAAAUUCGUAGAUAUUGGGAAGAACACCGGUGGCGAAGGCGGCGACCUGGUCCAUUACUGACGCUGAGGCGCGACAGCGUGGGGAGCAAACAGG